ACGGGAGGCAGCAGUGAGGAAUAUUGGUCAAUGGACGAGAGUCUGAACCAGCUAAGUAGCGUGCAGGAUGACGGCCCUAUGGGUUGUAAACUGCUUUUGUACGGGAAUAAAGUGAUCCACGUGUGGGUUUUUGCAUGUACCGUAAGAAUAAGGGCCGGCUAAUUCCGUGCCAGCAGCCGCGGUAAUACGGAAGGUCCGGGCGUUAUCCGGAUUUAUUGGGUUUAAAGGGAGCGUAGGCCGUGCUUUAAGCGUGUUGUGAAAUGUAGGCGCCCGACGUCUGCACUGCAGCGCGAACUGGAGCACUUGAGUACGCAGGAAGUAGGCGGAAUUCGUCGUGUAGCGGUGAAAUGCUUAGAUAUGAUGAAGAACUCCGAUUGCGAAGGCAGCCUACUGUAGCGUUACUGACGCUAAAGCUCGAAAGUGUGGGUAUCGAACAGGAUUAGAUACCCUGGUA
rnacentral:rRNA from 1 species